CGAAAAUGUUAAAGUUCUUAUUUCAUGGUAUAACUUUGGUAUGCUUGGACCUAGAGUCUUCAAACUUGACAUGAAGGUUGGCCAGGAUUAACAGAUGACCACUGGUCAUUUCAAGGUCAUUCAUUUGAAGGUGAAGGUCACUGUGACCUUCAAUAUAAAAAUGUUAAAGUUGUUAUAACUUUGGUAUGCUUGGACCUAGAGUCUUGAAACUUGACAUGAAGGUUGGCCAGAACUAGUAAGUAACCACUGGACAUUUCAAGGUCAUUCAUUUGAAGGUCAAGGUCACUGUGACCUUGAAUGUAAAAAUGUUAAAGUUGUUAUAACUUUGGUAUGCUUGGACCUAGAGUCUUGAAACUUGACAUGAAGGUUGGCCAGAACUAGUAAGUAACCACUGGACAUUUCAAGGUCAUUCAUUUGAAGGUCAAGGUCACUGUGACCUUGAAUGUAAAAAUGUUAAAGUUCUUAUUUCAUGUUAUAACUUUGGUAUGCUUGUACCUAGAGUCUUCAAACUUGAAAUAAAGAUUGGCCAGUACUAGAAGAUGACCACUGGUCAUUUCAAUGUCAUUCAUUUGAAGGUCAAGGUCACUGUGACCUUAAAUGUUAAAAUGUUAAAAUUGUUAUAACUUUGGUAUGCUUGGACAUAGAGUCUUCAAACUUGACAUGAAGGUUUGCAAGCACACUUAGAUGACCACUGGUCAUUUCAAGGUCAUUCAUUCUAAGGUCAAGGUCACUGUGACCUUGAAUGUAAAAAUGUCUGGAUUUCUGUGUAGGUAUGUGAAAGCAAAACAAUAAAUAGUAUUAUUUCA